UACGGAGGGUGCAAGCGUUAAUCGGAAUUACUGGGCGUAAAGCGUGCGCAGGCGGUUUUGUAAGACAGGUGUGAAAUCCCCGGGCUUAACCUGGGAACUGCGCUUGUGACUGCAAGACUCGAGUACGGCAGAGGGGGGUAGAAUUCCACGUGUAGCAGUGAAAUGCGUAGAGAUGUGGAGGAAUACCGAUGGCGAAGGCAGCCCCCUGGGUCGAUACUGACGCUCAUGCACGAAAGCGUGGGGAGCAAACAGG
rnacentral:rRNA from 1 species